CCGACCGUAGCUCAGCAGCAGAGCAAGUGGCUUUUACCCACCCGCGCGCUGGUGCAAGUCCAGCUGGUCGGA
rnacentral:tRNA from 1 species